GUGUUGUGAAGAAGUGCAACACAAUCAAAUUAUCAAAGAACAAUAAUCCAAUCUAUUUAAUAUUAAUUAAAAAACAACCAGAUUGAUUUACAGGUAUAAUCUACACACGUAAUCCCAAAAUUUCAGAUUACGAAGAACCCAGAAUCCAAAAAAGAAAAAGAAGACUAAUUACUAUUAUUUACUCUGUUAAGAUGGAGAGAACAGGGGAGCCUGCAGGGUGACCCUGCAGCAGAGAAGCUCUGCAGAGAGGGCAAUUAGACCGAGCCGAAAGCCACCUAUCAACACACUCGCUAUGGAAAGAAUGGUGGCACUCAGGCAAAACCUUAACCUUAUCACCAUCUUCAAAUACUCCUAGACAUAUACAGCACUCAGCUUCCACUACAACGUUACUAUUGCCGCGGUUGCCCCCACAUAAAGAUGACGAUGAUGACUGGUGCAAAGUUACCGGUAACGACUUAAUUAUUGUGGGGUGGAGGCCCUGGGACCGAAGAGGUGGCGCGUGGAGUGGUGGGUUAUUGGGGAAGUGUUGUUGUCGGUAUCUACAAACGCAGCGAGCGUAGAGGAAUAGGGUGGUGAUGAGGACUAGUAAUGAGAAGAGGAUGAUGAUGAUGAGGAAGAGAGUUUGGCCAUGGAUUACGAAAUCAUUAUCGUUUAGGUCCGCACUGAAGUGCCAGUGGAAUGGUUGGGAGUCUUGAGAGGACAUUCUGAUGAUGGUGGUGGUGGUGGUGCAGAGGAAAAAGAGGUGGUGGGAGUUUUGAGAAUAAACAAGUGGUUUUGGGCUUAAAGGGCAGUUAAAGUGGAAGUUACAUUAUCUAAAUUAUUGUAACAAUA
rnacentral:misc_RNA from 1 species